rnacentral:rRNA from 1 species
AACGAACGCUGGCGGCAUGCCUAACACAUGCAAGUCGAACGAGACCUUCGGGUCUAGUGGCGCACGGGUGCGUAACGCGUGGGAACCUGCCCUUAGGUUCGGAAUAACUCCCCGAAAGGGGUGCUAAUACCGGAUAAUGUCUUCGGACCAAAGAUUUAUCGCCUUUGGAUGGGCCCGCGUUGGAUUAGCUAGUUGGUAGGGUAAAAGCCUACCAAGGCGACGAUCCAUAGCUGGUCUGAGAGGAUGAUCAGCCACACUGGGACUGAGACACGGCCCAGACUCCUACGGGAGGCAGCAGUGGGGAAUAUUGGAAAAUGGGCGAAAGCCUGAUCCAGCAAUGCCGCGUGAGUGAUGAAGGCCUUAGGGUUGUAAAGCUCUUUUACCCGGGAUGAUAAUGACAGUACCGGGAGAAUAAGCGCCGGCUAACUCCGUG